rnacentral:rRNA from 1 species
AUGAGUAAUUUAUUUGACAUACAUAAAUAUAUAUAUUUUUGUAUACGUGGAAUAUAUUACAAGAUCCAUCAUAAAAUUGAAACAGCAUCAAGGCUCUUUGAAGUCAUAAUAUCCAGCAUCACCUUCAAAUGUCGACGUUCUACCAUGAUUGUGCAAUAUAUUUCAAGGCCCAUGAUAAAACUGAAAGAGCAUCAAGGGUUUUACAGGUCAUGGUGGCUGGGUUUUGCUGGCGUUGUGGUCCAUGCAUACCAAUUCUUUGAAUCAGUGCCACCGUGCAGUGAUGUAAGAAAAAAGUGUGUCGUUUGUCGACUGUGGGCAAUGGAGUGA